CCUACGGGAGGCAGCAGUAGGGAAUCUUCCACAAUGGGCGAAAGCCUGAUGGAGCAACGCCGCGUGGGUGAAGAAGGUCUUCGGAUCGUAAAACCCUGUUGUUAGAGAAGAAAGUGCGUGAGAGUAACUGUUCACGUUUCGACGGUAUCUAACCAGAAAGCCACGGCUAACUACGUGCCAGCAGCCGCGGUAAUACGUAGGUGGCAAGCGUUAUCCGGAUUUAUUGGGCGUAAAGGGAACGCAGGCGGUCUUUUAAGUCUGAUGUGAAAGCCUUGGGCUUAACCGGAGUAGUUCAUUGGAAACUUGGAGACUUGGGGGCAGAGGAGUAGAGUGGAACUACAGGUGUGGCGGUGAAAUGCGUAGAUAUAUGGAAGAACACCAGUGGCGAGAGCGGCUCUCUGGUCUGUAACUGACGCUGGGGUUGGAAGGCGUGGGUAGCAAACAGGAUUAGAUACCCUUUAGUC
rnacentral:rRNA from 1 species